CGAAGGGUGCAAGCGUUACUCGGAAUUACUGGGCGUAAAGCGUGCGUAGGUGGUUUGUUAAGUCUGAUGUGAAAGCCCUGGGCUCAACCUGGGAACUGCAUUGGAUACUGGCAGGCUUGAGUGCGGUAGAGGAUAGCGGAAUUCCCGGUGUAGCAGUGAAAUGCGUAGAUAUCGGGAGGAACAUCUGUGGCGAAGGCGGCUAUCUGGACCAGCACUGACACUGAGGCACGAAAGCGUGGGGAGCAAACAGGAUU
rnacentral:rRNA from 1 species